GAUGAACGCUAGCGGCAGGCUUAAUACAUGCAAGUCGAGGGGCAGCAUGGUUGUAGCAAUACAACUGAUGGCGACCGGCAAACGGGUGCGGAACACGUACGCAACUUACCCAAAACUGGUGAAUAGCCCUCCGAAAGGAGGAUUAAUACACCGUAACUUAAUUAGGUGGCAUCACUUGAUUAAUAUAGCUCCGGCGGUUUUGGAUGGGCGUGCGCCUGAUUAGGUAGUUGGUGUGGGUAACGGCCCACCAAGCCUACGAUCAGUAACUGGUGUGAGAGCACGACCAGUCACACGGGCACUGAGACACGGGCCCGACUCCUACGGGAGGCAGCAGUAAGGAAUAUUGGUCAAUGGACGCAAGUCUGAACCAGCCAUGCCGCGCGAAGGAUGAAGGUCCUCUGGAUUGUAAACUUCUUUUAUAUGGGACGAAACCUCUUUUUCUAAGGAGACUGACGGUACCAUAGGAAUAAGCACCGGCUAACUCCGUGCCAGCCGCCGCGGUAACAC
rnacentral:rRNA from 1 species